GAAGGGGAUAACCCCGGGAAGCUGGGAGAUAAUCCCUAUAGAUUACAGAUGCUGGAAUGCCCUGUAAUCCAAAGUUCCGACGCCCAUAGGAUGGAUCUGCGGCCGAUUACGUUGUUGUUGGGGUAGUGGCCCAACAAGCCCGUAAUCUGUACCGGUUGUGGGAGCUAGAGCCCAGAGUUGGAUUCUGAGAUACCAAUCGCGGCCCUACGGGGCGCAGCAGGCGCGAAAACUUUACAAUGCGGGCAACCGUGAUAAGGGAACCUCGAGUGCCUGUAAAUGCAGGCUGUUCAGGUGCCUAAAACACACCUGAAGAAAGGGCCGGGCAAGACCGGUGCCAGCCGCCGCGGUAAUACCGGCGGCUCGAGUGGUGGCCGCUUUUAUUGGGCUUAAAGCGUUCGUAGCUGGGUUGUUAAGUCUCUUGGGAAAUCUGGCGGCUUAACCGUCAGGCGUCUAAGGGAUACUGGCAAUCUUGGAACCGGGAGAGGUGAGGGGUACUUCGGGGGUAGGAGUGAAAUCCUGUAAUCCUCGAGGGACCACCUGUGGCGAAGGCGCCUCACCAGAACGGCUUCGACAGUGAGGGACGAAAGCUGGGGGAGCAAACCGGAUUAGAUACCCGGGUAGUCCCAGCCGUAAACUAUGCGCGUUAGGUGUAUCGGUGACCACGAGUUACCGAGGUGCCGAAGGGAAACCGUGAAACGUGCCGCCUGGGAAGUACGGUCGCAAGGCUGAAACUUAAAGGAAUUGGCGGGGGAGCACCACAACAGGUGGAGCCUGCGGUUUAAUUGGACUCAACGCCGGGAAGCUCACCGGAUAAGACAGCAGAAUGAUUGCCGGGCUGAAGACUCUGCAUGACUAGCUGAGAGGAGGUGCAUGGCCGUCGUCAGUUCGUACUGUGAAGCAUCCUGUUAAGUCAGGCAACGAGCAAGACCCACGCCAACAGUUGCCAGCAUGGUCUCCGGACUGAUGGGGACACUGUUGGGACCGCCUCUGCUAAAGAGGAGGAAGGUAUGGGCAACGGUAGGUCAGCAUGCCCACAAUUAUCCGGGUUACACGCCGGUUGCAAUCGGCAGGACAAUGGGCAUAGACACCGAAAGGUGAAGGCAAUCUCCUAAACCUGUCUUUAGUUCGGAUUGUGGGUUGCAACUCGCCCACCUGAAGCCGGAAUCUGUGGUAAUAGCGUUUCAACA
rnacentral:rRNA from 1 species